rnacentral:lncRNA from 1 species
CCUCUCCCUCUCAGAGUGAUUGACAUAAUUAUUUGUAGAGUUUGUAAAAUCAUUCAUUGUCUUUCUUCAUGAAAAAUAUAAAAGUUUAUAUAAGACCUCAGGGGUCUUAUUUCUUUAGGAAUCUUUUAUCUUUUAUGAGGAAGAAAUUAGCCCUCCCACAAAAAAGUAAACAUUAUGCCUGGUUUUCAAACAAAGUAAUCUACCAUAGGAAAAAAAUCAGUCCUUCAACAAAAUAAGUAGGUAGCCAAGAAUUUUUAAGGAAUCUUAGG